rnacentral:misc_RNA from 1 species
UCCACCACCAUCACUUCUCCCCAUCUACUAUUCUUAUGCUCCCAUUCUUCUCUCUCUUCUUUUUUUACAUCUAAUUUCCAGGAAUAUGUUUGGAGAAGGUAGCAGUGGCAACGGUUUAUUUCCGGCUUCAUUAGAGGGGAAUCGUUUCCAGUAUGAUAUGACUGCAUUGCCUCAGCUGCAACUGUUUGGGGAUGUCACCGUUGGAUGUAGUGGCUACCCGAUAAGUCACAAUGUCAAUGAUCACCCAUCUGUUG